GAUGAACGCUGGCGGCGUGCUUAACACAUGCAAGUCGAACGAAGCUGCUAAAAGGAAGUCUUCGGAUGGAAUUUUAGUAGACUUAGUGGCGGACGGGUGAGUAACGCGUGGAUAACCUGCCUUAUACAGGGGGAUAACGGAGAGAAAUUUCCGCUAAGACCGCAUAAGACCACAGCACCGCAUGGUGCAGGGGUAAAAUAUUUAUAGGUAUAAGAUGGAUCCGCGUCCGAUUAGCUAGUUGGUGAGGUAGAGGCUCACCAAGGCGACGAUCGGUAGCCGGCCUGAGAGGGUGAACGGCCACAUUGGGACUGAGACGCGGCCCAAACUCCUACGGGAGGCAGCAGUGGGGAAUAUUGGACAAUGGGGGAAACCCUGAUCCAGCGACGCCGCGUGAGUGAAGAAGUAUUUCGGUAUGUAAGGCUCCAUCAGCAGGGAAGAAAAUGACGGUACCUGACUAAGAAGCCCCGGCUAACUACGUGCCAGCAGCCGCGGUAAUACGUAGGGGGCAAGCGUUAUCCGGAUUUACUGGGUGUAAAGGGAGCGCAGACGGCGAAGCAAGUCUGAAGUGAAAUGCAUGGGCUCAACCCAUGAAUUGCUCUGGAAACUGUUUGGCUUGAGUGUCGGAGGGGUAAGCGGAAUUCCUAGUGUAGCGGUGAAAUGCGUAGAUAUUAGGAGGAACACCGGAGGCGAAGGCGGCUUACUGGACGACAACUGACGUUGAGGCUCGAAGGCGUGGGGAGCAAACAGG
rnacentral:rRNA from 1 species